UACGGGGGGGGGCAAGCGUUGUUCGGAAUUACUGGGCGUAAAGGGUUUGUAGGUGGCCCGCUAAGUCACACGUGAAAUCCCUCAGCUUAACUGGGGAACUGCGUGUGAGACUGGCAGGCUCGAGGGCAGGAGAGGAACGCGGAAUUCCAGGUGUAGCGGUGAAAUGCGUAGAUAUCUGGAGGAACACCGGUGGCGAAGGCGGCAUCCUGGACCGGCAUUGACGCUGAGGCGCGAAAGCUAGGGGAGCAAACGGG
rnacentral:rRNA from 1 species